rnacentral:rRNA from 1 species
GAACGUACGCUGGCGGCACGCCUAACACAUGCAAGUCGAACGAAGUAGCAAUACUUAGUGGCAGACGGGUGAGUAACAUGUGGGUAUCUACCCUUUGGCCUGGAAUAACACGAGGAAACUUGUGCUAAUACCGGAUAAGUCUUUACGGAGAAAGCUUUAUGCACCAUUGGAUGAGCCCGCACUUGAUUAGUUUGUUGGUAGGGUAAUGGCCUACCAAGACUAUGAUCAAUAGCUGAUUUGAGAGGAUGAUCAGCCACAUUGGGACUGAGACACGGCCCAAACUCCUACGGGAGGCAGCAGUGGGGAAUCUUGCACAAUGGAGGAAACUCUGAUGCAGCGAUGCCGCGUGAGUGAAGAAGGCCUUUGGGUUGUAAAGCUCUUUCGUCGGGGAAGAAAAUGACUGUACCCGAAUAAGAAGGUCCGGCUAACUUCGUGCCAGCAGCCGCGGUAAUACGAAGGGACCUAGCGUAGUUCGGAAUUACUGGGCUUAAAGAGUUCGUAGGUGGUUGAAAAAGUUGGUGGUGAAAUCCCAGAGCUUAACUCUGGAACUGCCAUCAAAACUUUUCAGCUAGAGUAUGAUAGAGGAAAGCAGAAUUUCUAGUGUAGAGGUGAAAUUCGUAGAUAUUAGAAAGAAUACCAAUUGCGAAGGCAGCUUUCUGGAUCAUUACUGACACUGAGGAACGAAAGCAUGGGUAGCGAAGAGGAUUAGAUACCCUCGUAGUCCAUGCCGUAAACGAUGUGUGUUAGACGUUGGAAAUUUAUUUUCAGUGUCGCAGGGAAACCGAUAAACACACCGCCUGGGGAGUACGACCGCAAGGUUAAAACUCAAAUGAAUUGACGGGGACCCGCACAAGUAGUGGAGCAUGUGGUUUAAUUCGAAGAUACGCGCAGAACCUUACCAACACUUGACAUGUUCGUCGCGACUCUAAGAGAUUAGAGUUUUCGGUUCGGCCGGACGAAACACAGGUGCUGCAUGGCUGUCGUCAGCUCGUGCCGUGAGGUGUCCGGUUAAGUCCGGUAACGAGCGCAACCCUCGCUGUAUGUUAUACGUGUCAUACGGGACUGCCGGUAUAAAGCCGGAGGAAGGUGAGGACGACGUCAAGUCAGCAUGGCCUUUAUAUCCAGGGCUACACACACGCUACAAUGGUCGGUACAAUGGGUCGCAAAACCGCGAGGUGGAGCCAAUCCUCAAAGCCGGCCUCAGUUCGGAUUGUAGGCUGCAACUCGCCUACAUGAAGUUGGAGUUGCUAGUAAACGCGCGUCAGCAACAGUGCGUUGAAUACGUUCCCGGGGCUUGUACACACCGCCCGUCAA